CUCUGCUCCGGUUCCUUUCUGUCUGUCCCAAGAACCGCAGUGCGCGCGGCGCCGCCCGAGGCGUUCCUUGGAAAGUUUCCCCGGCUUGAUUACUUACAGACGGGACAGCUCUGUUCCCACUGCGCUUCCUACAUCCUGUCCGAGCGGUUAUUACCCAACGCUACCCACGUUCCGAUAACAAGGAGAUUCCGCGAACUCCGUCCCAGUCCCUGAAAUAUAGCGUGACUGCCCUCCCCGCCGGGGCUGUAAAGUGGCAGCCGGGCGCCGGCCUCCAGCGGCACCUGCGCCGCCCGCGGGGCGAGGGCCGCCCGGAGCACGAAGUGCGUGCGGCCGCCGGCUUGCAGGUCACGCAACGCGGCCGCCCCGCCCCCAGCCCCCCAACCUCCGCCCUCGCUGCUUUCGUGCGCGCCGGGGGCUUCCUGGUCGCCCGGGGCCCGCCUCGCGUGCCGACUGGGCCGCGUAAUCCGCCGAGGAAUCCGAUUCCGGGCAGCCCCGAUGCCCUCGCUCCCGGGAGCCUGGGCGGGCGACGCCCUCGUCCGAACGCCGUCGUUUCCAUCUGCAAGGUACUAUGCAAGGCACUGGUCUUCAUCUGAAGAUUUAUCAGCAUACAAGACAGAUGUGGUCUCUUGCCUUGGAUCACACAGUUAAUGGAGGAGCUGGAACCAGAAAAAAAACUGUAGAUUUUUAAUUAAAAGAACUUCCAUUAAUCAAAUGCUGACUCUAUACCAGGCCCGAAGUGUUUCACCUACACUAAGUCAUAUAAUCUCUACUUAUGGUAGGGCAGAACACACCUUCCCACUCCUAGGGCCUCCUGGCCCAUCUCUCCUGCCUCCUUUUCUCUGCCCAAGAGGGAAAUGGCUUAUCUGUGUUUGGAAAGAUUAACAGAGCCCAAGUAAUUCAGUCCCAUCUCUUAUCUCUCGUUUUUGGUAGGCAGAACUGGCUGUCUGAAAAAAGUUUGUUCAGCUUUGCUCUUACAGAUCCUAUGGAGAACUGGGGCAGAAGAUCAGCAAGACACAUACUGGGGUUUAAAAUUAGGAAGCCCAGUUUCUCACAUCAGCUUUCUCAUCAAAUGAGUUACUCUGUGUAUAUGUAAUGGAGAAGCAUUUCAUAAAAAUAACAAGUAACUGUGCAC
rnacentral:lncRNA from 1 species